CGGAGUUUUGUACAAAAUAAAUAAAUAAUUACAUUAUAUGGAGACAACGGUCCAGCAACCCGAAGUUGACUGGGAGACGACGGCCUAGACCUCUUACGAACUCAUCGCAGCAUCCUCCAAGCGCCUCAUCAUGCGGUACCUGUUCUUGACCUGUGGGGGGUGUGUGAGACAGCAAGAGUGAGCUCACAUACGUUCAUCGCUCAACAAGUUGUGGGGAAUAAUGUGCCUGAACUCGCCAAAGAUGGGAGCUCAUGUGAAGUGUGAGGCUUACCAAAGAGGAUGGCUGAAGCUGAGCAUUGCUUUUAAAGUUGGUCAAAAUUUUAUUAGCCAUUACUAAGUAUAAGUAAAUACCAACUCAAUUAAAUAGUAGAACAGAAGUAACAACAUCACCUGCGAUGCAAUGCAUAUGACAAAUUGAAUUUAAGUUCCAUAGAUUAAUCAUGUGAGUGUCCGAGCUGCUCAUGACCGUGAGCACGGCUAGUAUACCAGUUUUACACUCUGCAGAGGUUGCGCAUCUUUACCCACAAGUCAUGUUACCCAUCUGCCAAGGGAUCACGACUUCCCAUACACCUCUACCGAGGAGGCGAGGCAGGGUAACACUACGAGGCCAUUACAAAGUUCCACUAGCUUCAGAAAACCCGCUACAGUUUAUAGGAAGCUCCAAUGCAGGAAUCCCUUGCAGGACCGCCAUCGCAGCAAAAUCCUCCCGAGGGCCUCCCUACACUGACCACUCCCCUACUGCCCUUGCCCCUUUCGGGUAAGGUAGUCUUCCACUAGCUUUCCUAAUUAAUCGGCCAAGGGCGUCCCAUUAAACCCUUGUGGUAGCACUGUUUUCCCGGGUGGUUCUCCAUGUUCCAAUUAACAUAAUGAUCUUAUCAUGAACAGUAAAUAGCAACUGAUAACAAAAGUAUGAAUAAUAUGUAUCUCAAUGCCCAAAUCCACAUAUAGCACUAGCAAGUACUACCCAGAAAGUUUAGUGGUAAACAAGGCAUAAUGAUAGAUAAACUAGGGUAACCUAUUAGGUCCCAUCAAAUUAACCUAUGCAGAUCAUUAUGAUUAAUUAGAACAUGAGUGGGUAAAAGAAGUGAUCAAGGGCACAACUUGCCUGGGACUUGAGAUUUCAGGUACCAACUUGCUCUUCAGAUGACACGUGACCUCACUGCUAGUCGUAGCAAUACAAACAAACAGUGUAUAGACAAAAUUAACAUUACACCAAACAUAAGAACAAACUGCAUAAUAAUAAUCUACGUGCUGCUACGAGAUCGCGAGAACAAGAAUUACUAAAUUCGGAGUUACAGUUAUCAAGUUAUGAAUUUCUGAAGGUUUUAUAUGUUUUGUACAAGAUUAAAUAUGAUACAAAUUUUAUUGUGAUAUUCAUGUCAAAACAGAGGUAUUAUGUGAUAAACAAUAAUAUUAUUGAAUUAUAGAAACUAAAAUGGGUAAAUUUGGGCUUAGUAUGAAUUUUCUAGGAUUAAACAAGUUCUAGCAUUUUUUUCUCACAUUAAAAAUCAUCUCUAAUUAUUUUUACUGGAUUUUAUAAGUCUCUGGACUGAGCACAUGAAAACAGGGAAGUACAGGGGUCUAACCAUAAAACUAUCUCAGACUCAGAACGUCCCUGCUACGGACGGCGGGUUGAUUACUGUGAAGUACAGGGGCUCUUAUGCAAAGUGUCGCGGCCGAAGGGGUAUCUAUGAAUCUGAAUCAUCCGAUCAAAAUCCUAGGGCUCAGAUUAGAUCGCUGAUAUCCUAAACCAGCGCGCGGAAAUAGCCAUCGGAUUUCUGAUCUACGGUUUGGAUCACAUGCGGGUUCCGAUCAACACCGGUCGAACGAUCCUAAAUCUAUGGACGAGGCGCAACACUCAUGUGAUCUAAUCACCACCGUUAACUCCUGGAUCUAGGACCACGGCUGGUUCUUCCCCAGACGACCAGAGCGGCGAUGCUGUCCCAUCCCGCGGUGUAGACGACGGCGCCAACGCGCGGUGCAGGAGCCCGACAUGCGCGCACAGCGAAGGCUCAGCAGGGAUCGAGAAGAAGAACUCACCGCCAAUGGAGGAGGUCGGCCGAUGAUGGAGCGCGGAUCCGUAGCGAGGCGCAGACCCAGAGCUCGUGCCUUCUCCCCGCGACGGCUUUCCCACGAUCACCCCUCAUAGCAGCGAUGGUGAGCAAAUACUGGAAUGACCCAGGAGAAAACGACGGUCGUAUUUAUGCUGCCUAGGAGCGAGAACGACCCGGCCAGUCGAGGCGCAAAGAUCGGCUAUCCGUUACAGAGAUGCGAUGGGAUCCCAACAAAUUGAGGUGUGUGUUUCGGUCUCCAACGAAUGAAGAAUCUGUCCAACAGUACCAUGCGUUGGGUGCUAUUGUGAUGAGGUAUUUUCCGGCCAAAGGAUUAAUAAAAUUAUAUAAAAAAUAUGCACCAUGGGCUGCGAUGGAGGCUUAAUUAGCGGGACUGAACUACGUUAUUGUUUGGUUGAGUCCAGCUGCAAUCGUUGACACCGCCAUUUGUUACAUACUAGUAGAAGUUUGUUACCGCUCUGCAUUGGGUGCCAUCUGAUCCCAUAUCCAAUCACCUUCCUCACGAGCCAACCAAACAAAACACGGUAACUAAUCUGCAGUUGAUAGCGUUGCAAGCUGCUUUCAUUUCCGUUCCCGCUACCCUACCCAAACCAAACAGCACCUACAUGGUAACGUAAGCUUCUUUUUUUUAUUCUAUUUCAAUACAAUUUACAAUUUCAAACUUGUUUAAAAUGCACAACCAAGAAACACUCGGCAUAGAUGCAAAUUCAUGAUUUUAUUUAUCAUUUAUUUAUUAAUUUAAUCUUUCAUGAUGGCUUAUAAAUAUUAAAUGAGCAAGAAAAAUCACAGUUGAAAAGGUAUUCCUUAUUUCUUAUUUGUUUUAAUAGAAAAUAAUUUAUAAUGUACAAUCUCUAUCCUAAGAUACUUUUUAAAAAAAUUACUAAACCUAAAAUCAGGAUUUUGGGGUGCUACAAAUUCUACCCCCCUUAACAGAAAUCUCGUCCUCGAGAUUAAUAAGAAAAGGGAUACAGAAUGAUUGGUUUGUAAUUCAGCUUUUAGUCUAUAAUUGGUUCAAAAACCCACAAUCUCAUUUAUUGUAUAUACUGAAUAGUGGGUGAUCAGGAGGGCAUAGGUAUCCAGCUACUUAUUAGGUAGGAUAUAAGAGAUGUAUAGUUUAGGGCAAGAAUAGCCAGGGGUAAGAAAGUUUAUGGUAAGGAAGAACUUCGUGUCAGAUGGUAAUGCAUCCGAAGAUUGAAUUUGACUUCUCUCCUUCCUUGAUGAGGUUGAGCUUUUCCCUCUUGAGCUUUGGUGUCACCAAGAGGUUAAGAUAGAUCAGUAGGUAAUAGCUAGGUAGAGGGUUUAGUAGGUAGCUAUAUGCUAGUUGGAAUUAGUUAUGUAACCAAUUAUGUAGGUCAAGUGGUUUGUGUAUGGCUGAGUUGAUCUAAGUCACCGAUUUAGGCGUAAGUGGAUUAGUAGUAUGGCCUUAUCCUUGUACCAGCAUUAAGUAACUCACUCUAAAUUAGAUUAUAUAAGAUUAGAUAGGAUCUUUUAAGAUAAGAUUGAUCUAUUUAAAAUGGAUAUACUUUAAUGGAGGAUAAUUUAGGUUGUGUAGUUGUCUUAUGAAUAUAUUUUUAUGCCUAUAUGUAUAUGUAGAUGUAGUGGUGGACAUUACUCCAAAACUCAUCACACUCAAUCAAAGAUCCAAAUCAGACAAGUAUCAUAAAAACAAACAUUCAAGUGCAUAGAUACUUUUAAAGAAAAUAUGAUUUUGUUUUUGUUUCAGAGAGUAGGUCUCCUAUUCCUAAAUGUCACUUUAGGCAUAGGAUUUCAAAGUGUGAAAUCCAAUUUUGUCUUUAGAAGGAAAAAGUACGAGUAAUCAGAGUAAGCGGAAAUAGAUGAGAAAAGAUUAAGAGAAGUUUAGAAAGAAUCAGAGUAAGGUAAGUAAAGAAUGGUUGUCCAGUUCUAUCUAGGUUUCGUCCUACAGUCAACAUUCCUCUGAUACCACUUCUGUCACACCCGGGUUUCGGGGCACCAAGACCCGGGCGCGAACAUAAUCACCAGGUGUGCUGGGACCAAGUCUCACACAUAUGAUGAAUCAUGGCACAGGAUCGAAUGUCACAUCUUUACUAUAUAAUCGGAGUUUUGUACAAAAUAAAUAAAUAAUUACAUUAUAUGGAGACAACGGUCCAGCAACCCGAAGUUGACUGGGAGACGACGGCCUAGACCUCUCACGAACUCAUCGCAGCAUCCUCCAAGCGCCUCAUCAUGCGGUACCUGUUCUUGACCUGUGGGGGGUGUGUGAGACAGCAAGAGUGAGCUCACAUACGUUCAUCGCUCAACAAGUUGUGGGGAAUAAUGUGCCUGAACUCGCCAAAGAUGGGAGCUCAUGUGAAGUGUGAGGCUUACCAAAGAGGAUGGCUGAAGCUGAGCAUUGCUUUUAAAGUUGGUCAAAAUUUUAUUAGCCAUUACUAAGUAUAAGUAAAUACCAACUCAAUUAAAUAGUAGAACAGAAGUAACAACAUCACCUGCGAUGCAAUGCAUAUGACAAAUUGAAUUUAAGUUCCAUAGAUUAAUCAUGUGAGUGUCCGAGCUGCUCAUGACCGUGAUCACGGCUAGUAUACCAGUUUUACACUCUGCAGAGGUUGCGCAUCUUUACCCACAAGUCAUGUUACCCAUCUGCCAAGGGAUCACGACUUCCCAUACACCUCUACCGAGGAGGCGAGGCAGGGUAACACUACGAGGCCUUUACAAAGUUCCACUAGCUUCAGAAAACCCGCUACAGUUUAUAGGAAGCUGCAAUGCAGGAAUCCCUUGCAGGACCGCCAUCGCAGCAAAAUCCUCCCGAGGGCCUCCCUACACUGACCACUCCCCUACUGCCCUUGCCCCUUUCGGGUAAGGUAGUCUUCCAUUAGCUUUCCUAAUUAAUCGGCCAAGGGCGUCCCAUUAAACCCUUGUGGUAGCACUGUUUUCCCGGGUGGUUCUCCAUGUUCCAAUUAACAUAAUGAUCUUAUCAUGAACAGUAAAUAGCAACUGAUAACAAAAGUAUGAAUAAUAUGUAUCUCAAUGCCCAAAUCCACAUAUAGCACUAGCAAGUACUACCCAGAAAGUUUAGUGGUAAACAAGGCAUAAUGAUAGAUAAACUAGGGUAACCUAUUAGGUCCCAUCAAAUUAACCUAUGCAGAUCAUUAUGAUUAAUUAGAACAUGAGUGGGUAAAAGAAGUGAUCAAGGGCACAACUUGCCUGGGACUUGAGAUUUCAGGUACCAACUUGCUCUUCAGAUGACACGUGACCUCACUGCUAGUCGUAGCAAUACAAACAAACAGUGUAUAGACAAAAUUAACAUUACACCAAACAUAAGAACAAACUGCAUAAUAAUAAUCUACGUGCUACUACGAGAUCGCGAGAACAAGAAUUACUAAAUUCGGAGUUACAGUUAUCAAGUUAUGAAUUUCUGAAGGUUUUAUAUGUUUUGUACAAGAUUAAAUAUGAUACAAAUUUUAUUGUGAUAUUCAUGUCAAAACAGAGGUAUUAUGUGAUAAACAAUAAUAUUAUUGAAUUAUAGAAACUGAAAUGGGUAAAUUUGGGCUUAGUAUGAAUUUUCUAGGAUUAAACAAGUUCUAGCAUUUUUUUCUCACAUUAAAAAUCAUCUCUAAUUAUUUUUACUGGAUUUUAUAAGUCUCUGGACUGAGCACAUGAAAACAGGGAAGUACAAGGGUCUAACCAUAAAACUAUCUCAGACUCAGAACGUCCCUGCUAUGGACGGCGGGUUGAUUACUGUGAAGUACAGGGGCUCUUAUGCAAAGUGUCGCGGCCGAAGGGGUAUCUAUGAAUCUGAAUCAUCCGAUCAAAAUCCUAGGGCUCAAAUUAGAUCGCCGAUAUCCUAAACCAGCGCGCGGAAAUAGCCAUCGGAUUUCUGAUCUACGGUUUGGAUCACAUGCGGGUUCCGAUCAACACCGGUCGAACGAUCCUAAAUCUAUGGACGAGGCGCAACACUCAUGUGAUCUAAACACCACCGUUAACUCCUGGAUCUAGGACCACGGCUGGUUCUUCCCCAGACGACCAGAGCGGCGAUGCUGUCCCAUCCCGCGGUGUAGAUGACGGCGCCAACGCGCGGUGCAGGAGCCCGACAUGCGCGCACAGCGAAGGCUCAGCAGGGAUCGAGAAGAAGAACUCACCGCCAAUGGAGGAGGUCGGCCGAUGAUGGAGCGCGGAUCCGUAGCGAGGCGCAGACCCAGAGCUCGUGCCUUCUCCCCGCGACGGCUUUCCCACGAUCACCCCUCAUAGCAGCGAUGGCGAGCAAAUACUGGAAUGACCCAGGAGAAAACGACGGUCGUAUUUAUGCUGCCUAGGAGCGAGAACGACCCGGCCAGUCGAGGCGCAAAGAUCGGCUAUCCGUUACAGAGAUGCGAUGGGAUCCCAACAAAUUGAGGCGUGUGUUUCGGUCUCCAACGAAUGAA
rnacentral:lncRNA from 1 species